GAGCCUGCUUUGGUGGCACAUGUGCCAAAACUGGAAUUAACACAGAGAAGAAUGACAUGAACCCUGUGUGAGGAUGGCACACACACACUUGUGAAGUGGGCUUCUGGAAU
rnacentral:snRNA from 1 species